rnacentral:lncRNA from 1 species
GCUGAAUUGAAUUGAUAUGUUGUGUGUGAACAAACAUGGGUGUUGGGUGAUUUUGAGUGUUGGAUAGUCACUUGUUUAAAAAUUGUUUACCUGCUUUCAAAUCUAUUCUCAAACUGCAUAAGUUCCUUUCAAACCUCAUAAAAAUAAACAUAUAACUUGUUUCUUUGGUUUUUAGAUGAAAAGGGAAAAGGAGUGACACCUGAACGUCAAGAGAUUUACAUUGAAAAUCUAACUCGGUGUCCUGUAUAUCUCAAUUGGUUUCCUAUAUUGCUGUAUUUGUGUUAUCUCACCGAUAUUGCCUUAAUUAUUUUGUUGCAUUUGUGUUUUCUCACUGAUUUAUUAUUAUUAUUGGCAGGUUAAUCAUCAAUUUUGUAGCCUUCAAUGAGGCUCGGCAAGUUGAUACAUCUAAAGCAAAAAAUAAAUAAGGUUUUCAUCUCUUUCUCUUUGUUUUGAUCUGUUUAAGUUUCUUAUGAUAUAGAAAAGUAAUAAUCUUAUGUGCUCAAAUAUAAUAUUUUAGUUUACCCGUGUAUGGUUCUUUGCCUCUAUUUGCUAUUACCAUGUUUGGAAUUUGUAUUGUCCAAGGGAAUUUUUGUACACAUAACUUAUUGAACAUUUUCAUUUUAUUCUAGAAGAAUAUUGAUGAUAUGGACGAAGAAUUUCAAGAUUUGGAAGAACAAGAUGAAGAUAUAUAAAUUUGAUGCUUGUUUUUUUGUUUUCCUGAUGGAUAUUGGUGGUCACGUUGAAGAUGUUAUAUUGAAUGUGAUUAAUGAUAAUUGUCAUUAUCUCUAAGGGUAUUCAUUAGAAAUCCAAAAAUAUUAUUACGUAUGUAAUUGUGUAAAUGUUACUUUCAUUGUGAUCAAUGAUGAUCGACAGCUAUUUCAUUUUCUGUAAUAUAUUUAUUUAGUAUCAGAUUACAAUUUUAUAUUAAUAAAGUUCUUUUUUUAUCUAUGUUAUUGCUUUUUUCAGACUUUAUUUUCUUUUUUAAUUUAUUUACGAGAUAAUUUUUUUUUGAAAAAAAAGUGUUUUGCAACACUUUUUGGCUGUUGGGGGUACUUAUAUAAAGGCAAUUAGAUAAAGGUCUUCCAGAACGGUUUUCGCAAUAACAACGGUGAGAGGCGUAGCGACAUCCCUUAGAAAAGCGUUUCCAAAGAAUACCUAUUGCUACACUUUUGUUCUUCAUAACGGAAAAAUAACGUUGUUGUUUUUACCUUUGAAAACCGUUUUCUUUUAGACACUAAAACUACGGUUAAUCCCACAUCGUUGCCCUUUGUAAAGAAAACCGUUCUGGAAAGAUAAGACAACGCCUCAGUUUGCCACAGACAGAAAAGCGUUCUGGUAGACAACAGCAACAGUUUUUUCACAUUUUGCUACGCUUUUUUGCCGUUGUCGUAAGAUGAAAAUGUUGUAGUGAUAGCUUUUCCUUGCUGAAUCAUUGAGCGCCUUCAUAAAAAAAAACUGGGUGAUUAAUUAGCACAAUGUCACAUUAUAUAAUCAUUCUCCUUGCAUAUUUUGUUGCAAAACAAUUCAUGAUUCUUUCAAAACAAUAUUAUUUAAUCUAUUUUAUGACAUAGUAGAUCACAAAUAGGAUUUUAACACAACAAAUAACAACAACUUGCAUUUAUAUAUCAAAUAAAAAUUAUUCUUUGAAUAUAUUUUCUAAAAACACUAUAAAUAAAAUUUCGAAUUAAGUGAUCACCUUCACUAUCUCUCCAGACAUGGUUGGUUUUUUCAAAUAACAACUACCAACUUGCAUUUAUUCAAAUAAAAGUUAUUCUUUGUAUGAAAGUAUAUUAAAAUUUCAAGUUAAGUGAUCACCUUGAUUAUCAUUCCAUACAUGGAUGGCUUUUUCAUCCAAUCUGGUAACUGCGAUCUAGACAUCUCAAACUUAUGUGGAAACCCUACGAUUGUGAACUUAUCAUAAUCAGAUUCCACUUCGUUGUGAGCUCUAUGUUUUUCAAACAAGAGCUCGGCACAGCGAGAGAAAAUGCUCGCAGGAGAGAAAACAAUUCUUGGAAUACCUAACUUGCUUGCAACUUCCACAGUCCAAGGAUGACACAAGUCACUAACUAUGCAAUCAACUUCUAACUCCCCCAACAAGUAAUUCUCUAUUAGCGACUGCAGCAUUACGAACCCCUCUUGGAAUUUUGCAGCUUCUGUAAGAGGAGUAUCAGUGUUGAAGGUUUCUGUUACAACUGAAAGGUUGACUUGCUUGGCUGGAAACUCCAGAACAUGUGUUUUUAUGGGUCGACCACGAUUGAAAUCAUGGUCGAUAGACUUUUGAAAAAUCCCAGCAUUGCCUGCAGUGGUGACUAUGGUGGAGUCUACACCAUGCAUGGCAAAUAGCCAUGACAUUUCAACCAAUGGGAUGAUGUGACUUGUAGCUGAGAAGGGAAUGAAAAUAACCUUUAGGUUAUUGGCUUCGGCUUCGUGAGACUGUAUCGCCAUUUUAUCUCUUUGGAGGUUGGAGAUACUGCUUCUGAUGUAUAUGAAUGAAUGAAUUUAAUGAGUAAGAAUAUGAAUGAAUGUGAAGACACGAAAGAUUCCCAUAAUAAAUUUAUUUUUUCUGAGUUUUUUUAAGAGAAAUGUUGCACAUGAUUUCUAUUAAAUUAGGAAGUGUAUAAAGAUGGAUGAAGCUUUUGACCUGUUCUUACAUUUUUUUUUAAAUGUGUAUGAAGAUGGAUGAAGGUGAUGAAAAUGAAGAAUAGUCUAUUUUGUUGGUUAAUAAGAACACUUAUAGUUAGUCUAUUUUGGUGCUUGUGAUGAAGAAGAGAAACUUCAUUUUUUGAUGGUUCACUGUUAGAUUCAAUAGUCUUAUUACAUGAUAUAAGAGUCUAUUUUGUUUCAAAAAAUUAAAUAAAUUAAUAAGAUCUAAUGUAGGAAACCUACAAUGUUAGUAUACCUUGGACAUUUUUAGUUAAAAUUAACAAUGUGUUGUCCGACGGAAAGCAUAUUUGAAGGACUAAAACGAAACUUUUAAUAAUUAUGAGACCAAAACGAAAUUCAAGAUUCUUUUUACAAUACAAAAUUAACUACAUUUCUUAAGAUGUGUAAAAAUAUCAAAACGACUUAUAAUAAAAUGAAAUGCUAAAAAGUGUCUUUAGGGCAUUGCUUAAGAGGAUAUAGAUUUUUUUUUUUUUUUUUAAGAAGGAUAAAAUAAAAAUAUUGCAUUGAAAAGCAAUGAAAAAUAAUGAAUUUAACUUUUUAAAAGUUAAAAUAUUAUUGAAUUCAAUACAAAUCUAUAAUAAAAUAGUUAGAGUAUGCAAUACAUACGUUGUGGUUAACAAGAACAUUUAUAGUUAUAGACGGACCUUUCUUCAACCUCGAGAAACUUGAUUCGAGACCCGACAACCAAAGACCUUUCUUAAAAAGAAAAAAAUUAUAGUAAGACUUGGUACCAUAUGAAUAUGAAACAUAAAUAAAAGCAGAUUCUCAGAACCAGAUUUCACUGUAUAAGAUUCGGCCAAUCAGAAAUUUAUUUUUUUUGUUCAAGGUCAAUGAGAAAUUUUGUACUACCUAGAUUUAUUGAUUAAUUAAUGUUCCAUGCGACCCACGUUAGUACAUUUUAUAUUUCUGAGGUACUUAAUUAAUGCUUUCCUUCUUCUUUAUCUCCAAAAAGAAAAUAAAAUACUUGUUUGAGGAGUUUUUCGAAACAGAGGAUUCGUCAACAAAACAAUUUUUAUAAGCAAAAUAAUGUUCCAUGCUGAUCGAUGUGUCUAUAGUUUUUAGCUUAUUAAUUUUCAUAAGAUUCAUGUGCUUGGAGUACUUGUUAAAGAGAAAAUAUAUGAUGAGUUUUAAGUUAAAAGUUGUUUUCAAAGUUUUAGUGUGUUGAAUACAUAAUUUCUAAGAUAAAAUGUCUUUUUUAAACGUUUUAGCAAGUGUCCUGGCGUCAUUUGUUAUGCUUUUAGUUAAUAUAUAUAUAUAUAUAUAUAUAUAUAUAUAUAUAUAUAUAUAGGGAUUUGCUAGAACAUACCUACUAGUUUUUAUAUAGGAGUGUUUUAGCAAGUUAUAACUAAAAUUUUAAUAAAUACAUCUUAAGGUAUAUGUUGCUAUAACACACCUUCUAAAAAAACAAGUGGGUGUGUUCUAGCAAAUCCUAUAGGCAUUUGCUGGAAUACACCCACUUAUUUUUUAGAAGGAGUAUUUUAACAAGUGAAUAACUAAAAAGUGGUUAAAUACACCUUAAGUGUAGCUUUGCUAAAAGACUCCCACAUAAAAACUAGUGGGUGUGUUCUAGCAAACCCCAUAUAUAUAUAUAUAUAUAUAUAUAUAUAUAAAAACUCAAAAGUAGAAGAUUAAAAAAGAAGAAGAUGAAAGCUUUUGUAUUAUUCUCUUCACAAGUGUGCAUUUACACUACAAUAUGAGCCCUAUUUAUAGGACACUACAAUAUGAGUCCUAUUUAUAAGAUACAAAAUGAAUAGCUGAGUGAUCAAAAUAAUUAAGGUCCACUAACUAUAUAUUCACUCACUAAUGGGGGUUAUAGGAAGGUGGAAGACUAAGGACGGACAUCCACUAAAGUCAUUUAUUCAUAACACUCCCCUUUGCAUGUCCAACAUGAUAUGCCUCAUUAAAACUUUACUAGAAAAAAAACUCAAUGGAAAAAAAUUCUAGUGAAGGAAAAAGAAUACAAUAUCCUUUUAAUGAUACACUGAUUUCUCCCCCUCAACAAUACAACCAUCUCUGAGUCGACGAAGACCACUUUUUUGUAUCAGUUGUUCAAAAACUCUGCUUGGGACUGACUUUGUGAAAAUAUCUGCAAGAUUAUUACAAGAACGAAUUUGUUGAAUGCUUAUAUCACCAUUCUUCUAAAGAUCAUGCGUGAAAAAGAACUUAGGAGAAAUAUGUUUUGUUCGAUCUCCUUUAAUGUAACCUUUCAACUGAGCAAUGCAUGCAAUAUUAUCUUCAUAAAUAAUUGUUGCAUAUGUUCUCCCGAUAGAUAAACCACAACUCUCUUGUAUGUGUGGAAUUAGAGACCUUAACAAAUACACUCUCGACUCGCCUCAUGUAGUGCUAAGAGUUCAGCAUGAUUUGAUGAUGUUGUUAUGGUUUGUUUCACGGAUCUCCAUGAAAUGGUUGUACCUCCACAGUUAAACAAGUUACCUAUUUGUUAUAUUCCAUUAUGAGGACCUAACAAAUAACCUGCAUCUGCAUAACCUGUUAAUUCAAAUUUUGGUACUUUUGAAUAAAACAAACCCAUGUCUAUUGUACCUCUAAGGUAACGAAAUAUAUGCUUGACUCUGUUCCAAUACCUUGAUAGUAGAUUGACAGAUAUCAGGACGUGUAUAAUUAACAAGGUACACUAGUGCUCCAAUUGCACUUAGAUAUGGUACUUCAGGACCAAAUAUUUCUUCACCCUCUUCUUGUGGUAUGAAAGGAUCUUUCUCCACAUCCAGUGAUCUAACAAACAUUGGAGUAGACAAUAGAUGGGAUUUGUCCAUAAAGAAACGUUUUAAUACUUUUGCAACAUAAGCUUCUUGAUGCACAAAUAUUCCAUUAUUCAAAUGCUCAAUUUGUAAUCCCAAACAAAAUUUUGUCCUUCCCAAGCCCUUCACCUCAAACUCUUUCUUUAAACAAUCUAUAGUCAUUUGUAUAUUCCCUCUUUAAUCAAAUAUUCACUGACGUGAUUAUACCACAUGUGCCCUGAUUAUUUUAGCCCAUAUAAAUACUUAUUCAAGUUGAUGGAAUAGUCUUCUCGAGAUCUAAGACAAUGUGUCUCAGGCAAAUUAAAUCGUUCUCGGAGUUUCAUGUAAAUGUCACUAUCAAGUGAUCCAUAUAAAUAAGCUGUAACAACAUCCAUCAUGUGCAAUUUGAGCCCUUCAUGUGCUACAAGACUAAUUAAGUAUCGAAAAGUAUAUUCAUCCACUAGAGAUGAAUAUGUCUCAUCAAAAUCAAUUCUAGGUCUUUGUGAAAAUCCUUGGGCAACAAGCCGAGUUAUGUAUCUCACAAUUUCACCAUUCUCAUUUUGUUUUCUCACAAAAACUCAUCUAUAUCCAACGGGUUUAACACCUUCAGGUCUUCAGACUACAGGUCCAAAAAACUUUUCGCUUGUGAAACGUGAUUAAUACGAUUUAGCAGCAAAAUGAAAGGUUAGGACGCGUGGAGCAAAAUCACGAGAAGAUUUCGAAAGAGAUUGGUACGUAGAUCGAGGUUGCACAAUGCAAUGAACAAAACAUUACUCCGACAACGUCGCGGACACUAUGUCCGUUCUAACGAAGUAACCACGAAAUAGGGAUAAGUAUCCAGGUGAUUCUGAAGAAGGAAGCAAUAGCUGGUCCCCUUCUCAUCGCGGUCGUAGAGAGGCUCCACUACCGCGGCUAAGCCGUAGAUCCUCCCCGCCAUAAUCAUCGAAGACACGAAAAGUAUUAUCUUGAGUGGCGUCGUUGUCACCACAAACUUGUCCCAUUUACGAGAAGGAUAGUAAAUUUCUCAUACCACGUGUCACCGAGAAGUCACCAAAACUACAAUUUUAUGAUUGAUCAGGUGAUCGCGACAAACAUGUAGAACAUUUGACACCGUCCUCAAUUAUCAUCAGGCGCAGGGACCGAUCAAGUGUAAACACUUUGUGCUCACACUGAAAGGUGUUGCGAUGACUUUCUUAGAAUUGACGAACUAAUAUUUAUUUAUUUUUUGGGUAAGAUUAUUUAUUACUGUGAUACAAAUAUUGUGUCCGGUGAAGUAUGUAAAAAAUAAUUGAUCAAGGUUUACAUGGUUUUUAGACAUCAGAUCCCAAAUCGAAUAAACCUGAAGUCAAUUUCAAUUUGCAACAAGUUAACUCCUUGAUUGUAAGCAAAAAUACACCCUACAAAUUAUUGAGAUUUACAUUCAAAUCACUUACUUAUUCAAAAACAACAAAGAACAUGCUUAUUGGCCUUAUUAAUUACCAUUAAGCCUUUGAAGUUUGAGCGACUUAAGCUCAUGAAUUAGUUGCAUCAAAUUGGCAUGAGAAGACCCACCAACAAUUAUAGCUUUCAAUUCUUCUUAUAAGAUAUCUCAAUUUCAUACAUCAAGUCAUGAAACUCGGCUUCAAAGGAGGUGGUGUUAUGCAUAUUGACCGCAACCUAAAUUUAAGCAUCCUCAUCCCUAAAAAUCCCACUACAAGUUGCAGGUCGGAAACAACCCUUAAUAGAACCAUCAAUAUUACACUUGACCCAACUAAGGAUGGGGGAUACCAUAAAACCGCCUUGAUGCGAGAAGCAUUAGGCGCAUGAUCCUAGACAAAGAAAACUCUUAAAAUCUCAAAUUCCUACAUGUUAGAAUAAGAAUGCGCAUUGGUAUGAUUCCCAGACAAUAAAGUGUUAGAACACCCUAAGUUAGCAGUGGUCUUCGAAUUAACUUUGACACCAUUAAAUAAUUGCUUGUUUCUACAUUACCAUAUGAUAUUUAUCACAUUGAUAAUGGCUGAAUGACCACCACUUCACAUUACGAUGACCAAGAUUUAUUACAAAGCUCAUUCACAGUAUACAUGUUACCGGUGUCCGUAUGCAUAUUGAAAAGGUAAAUAAUCUAACAUGAAAAUUGACCUGCAAAAUCACAAUCGAAAAAACAAAUGAUUGUUAGAUUCUUCAUGCUUGCAACGCGAGCAAGCAACACAUGGGGUUGUAACCUUUAACCGUUAAAUUAUCAUCAAUAGGAACUUUGUAAUGAAACAGCCUCCAAAACAAAAGAGAUUUAGAAGGAGGAAUAGAAGAACUCCAUAUAUUCUUAGCCCAAGACACCUUGGUCACCAGAGGCUUUUGAAAUAGAUAGACAUCCUUGAAGCACAUCUCUUGUUGUGUAGCAAAUGGAAGUUAAAAAUUUCGCAUUGCUUAGAAAAAUAGAGGUUGGGCACUCUCAAUGCCUUAAAGUUUCGAGUAAAAAUUUGGUGUCCAAAUCACUGGUAUGGUUAUUAUGGGCCCAACGCGUGGAUGAUCCCUCGAGCUCUCCUUGUGACCCAACAAUGGUGUCAGGCCGAGGUUCAAUAAAGUUUCAACCACCUCCUUGUUUCAAAAAUCUUCUUGACAAGGUGUUUGUUGGUGCCUUUGACAAUGGCGGUGCAAGAGUAAGUCUACGCGGAUGAAAAAGCUUCCACUUGAGGGGUGAGCAAGAUGAAUGGAUGGACUCUUACUUUAGAGAAGAUUGUUGUUGGAAAGGAUGAGUAAGUCUAUGAAUGGAUGGACUCUUUCUUUAUAGUUUCUACCAGUUGAAAGCCAAUAGUCAACUCUGUAUGUGCUCUUUGAAUGGUCAACCAUAUUGCUCUCUGUUCAUUUUGCAUUCUUCUAAAGUGCCUCAUGUCUUUAACAAUUCCAUCUUUAAGGUUUCCUAUAUCCCUUGUCCACCAUGCUUCUUUCAUGACAACCAAGGUGUUCCCCAGUUCUUCAUGCCCGGUUCGAUAUGUGUAUACAAAAGGUAGGUGGUCUGAUGGAUAAUCAAUGAGGGACAUAGUUUUUUUACCAAUAAACGGCCAGUUAAAGACUGUUAAAAAGUUUUUAGGAUCAAUUUCAUAUAAACAAAGACUUCUUUUCGUCAGAGGACAUAAACAAAGACUUAGAGUUGCAUUAUUAUUAUUUCUUUGAAAAGGUUAAAGAAGUUUUAUUCAGGAUCCUAAAUGAAACUGGUACAAGCAGUACCGAUACAAAUAUGUUAUGCAAAUAUUUACAGAGUCAUACAAAGAAAUCGCAUUUUCGAAUUGAUGGUAAGCUGGUGUAAGGUUGUUUUUUUUUUUUUUUUUUUUGAAGUAAGACUGGUGUAAGGUUUAUUUUGAUGGUUAAUAAUUGAUUAUUUAAAUAAAUGGCUAACUAUUUAUUUAUGUUUUCCUUGUAUUAUACACUAUUGAUGUGAUCCCAAAUUCCACAAUGCCAAGGAAAACAUAAAUAAUUGGCAUUGCAGACUUUCGGGUUCACAUCAAUAGUGUAAAAUACAUCAACAUUCUCGGCAAGUUAGCUUUGGCUUUUAUAAUAUCAAUGGCUAAUAGUAGCAUCCAAAGUGUCUCUUCACCCGGUGCUUUCAGUAGUUGAUGAAAAUAUCUGAAUGUAUUGAAGUAUCAGGACAAAUUGUUCUACCUAUUUUCUAUGACGGGAGUCCAUCUGAGGUACGAAAGAAAAACGGAAAUUAUGAAAAAGCUUUUCAGAAGCAUGAAUCAAUGAAGCAAGAUUCAAAGAAAAUUUAGAGGAUUUGCAAAUAUGGAGGGGAGCCUUAGCACAAGUAGCCAAUCCCUGGCUGGAAUAUAAAGGAUCAGUAAGUUGUAUUUUCUAUGUUAGCAACAAGAUAAUCAACGCUUUUAAGUUUAUUACUAAAACUUAUACUGUUUUGUUGAACUGCUUUAUCAUUUUAGGCCACAAUAUCCAGAUUGGAGAAAUCAUUGAAGAGUUAGAAAAGCUAUUUUGGACUCAGACAAUGAUGUUCGAGCUGUAGGGAUUUGUGGACUCUUGUUAAUGCUUUGUAUGCUAGAAUCUCUAAUCAAUUUGAUGCUUGUGCUUUAUCGACGAUGUGAGUAAAAUUUAUGGAGACUAUGGCCCAACCGAAGUGCAAAAGCAACUUCUUUGUCAAACUCUAAACGAAGAAAAUCUUCAGAUAUGCAAUCUUUCUAUGGGAUCUAAUUUGAUUCGAACUACGCUAUGUCAAAUAAAAUCUCUUGAAGUUCUUGAUAAUGUUCAAGUUGAACAACUUGAAAAAUUGGCCAUGAAAUGAUAAUGGCUAGGCACAGGAAGUAGAAUCAUCGUAAUAUCUAGAGAUAGCCAUAUCUUCAGAGAGCAUGGAGUAGAUGAAGUUUACAAAGUUCGACUCAUAAAUCAUAAUGAUGCCCUUCAAUUGUUUUGUAGGAAAGCUUUAAAAAUUGACGAUGUCAUGAGCGGUUACAUAAACUCGACAGAUGAUGUACUCGAAUAUGCCAAAGGUCUUGCAUAUUAGCAAUUAAAGUGUUGGGAUCAUUUUUGUAGGAGAAGUGUAUUGGCAAGAUUAAGAGAGAAUCCAAGGGCAGAUAUUAUGGAUGUACUUCGAAUUAGUUUUGAAGGACUAAAGGAUACAGAAAAGGAUAUAUUUCUAGAUAUUGCUUGUUUCUUCCAUCAAAGCAUGGAGACAUAAGUGAAGAAGUUUUUACUAUACUUUAACCACUUUUUUUUAUGCCUCUAAAUUCCCCCCUUGUCAUACUCAUGUUUGUUGGCUUCUCUAUCACUCCUCCUAAUGACACUGCUCUAUUGUCUUCAUUAAAUUCUUUUAGUGAAAUGAAGUCUUGCCAACACUUUUAGUGGCAAAUUUUAAGAGUUAAGAGAUGAUGUUGUUUUAAAGAGAAAAAUACACUGACAUCUAAUUGUUUUAUUUUUGGAGUUGUAUUUUUUUGUUAAAUCAUAACCAAGAAUUCUUUGGAAUUUAUUUAUAACUUCAAUAAUAUGAUGUUUUUUUGGCUGUCAAUAUCCUAAUGUAUAUUUAUAACCUGUUCCUAAUGUAUAUUUACUAAAGAAACUAAAAGAAUAUUGAUAACCAAAAAAGUGACGUUACUUGUCCAACGACUUACUUAACUUACAUCAGCUUGCAACACCUCAAUUCAGUAGAAGUUCAAAAAUAACUAAAAGAAUAUUUAACAAUAGCACAGAACAACAAAAUCAAAUUAAAAAAAGAAACAGGUAUGCAAUUUCUAAAGUAAGAGUCAAAACUAGCCUUCUAUAUGCAGCAAGACUGAUAGGAACAGGUUUAUAAUUCAUAUACAUCAAUUGAAUCCUUACUUUCCACCUUCAAUGUAAUAGUUCUCCUAGUAAGAGUCUUCGCAUAUAUUUUCAUUACCACCACGAACCAGCAAAACCAUAUUAUAAUGAGUAUAACCAUCUUGAAGCUGCUUUCUAGCAACUAUAAACUUAGUGGAAUACCCACUUUCUCCUGAAUAUUGAAUUCACAUAACCUAUUGUAUCUGAACUCUCUCCAUCAGCACCAAAUGAAGUGUAGAUUCUGUUUGAAUGUUGUAAUCCGCAAGCGUACGAUCGUUCUCCAAUUGCUUUUCUGUCAAUAUUUUCACAAAGAUUUUCAUCUGCUCAUAUUGAAACACCAAAAUGUUAGAAACAGAUCACUCACAUCAAGACAACACUAAUUAAAUCACAAACAAUAAUCCAUCGAAUUCAGAACAAGCUGGGACCAAAGCUUUUUGCAAAAAUUCUACUCAUGAGAUUAAAUUCAUCAAUUGACAGAUUAUAUCACAAGAUAUUCCACGAUAGCCAAGGUUAUCAAUCGCUGAUUGCAGAAACAAUAGUUUAUUCAGCAGAACUAUAACAAAUGCUAUAAUUAGACAACAUUUUAUACUAAAGAACGUACAGCAGGACCAUAUCAAUUAUAUCAUAUUCGACAGCAGUCGGUAUUUGACAACCAAUACAUGCCCAGCGUCACUAUAUGAUAGAAAGGCAUCAAUUCUGAUCUCUAUAGUACCGACAUUUCUGAACGUGUCAGAUAUCCGACACCAACACAAAACCUUCACAUUCAACCAAAACUAGGCCUCUGCAAACCAAAAAGACUCCCACCUACCCACAAACACAGUAACACCGUAGCCAAAAAACGCAAGAACAACUGACAGCUUCUACACCCCCACCCCCAAAUCACUCCAAGCACUUACAAGGAUCCCAACACAAUUCGUAGAAGAGGCAAUUAUAAGAUUUCUUCCCGCUCAAUCACCAUCUACAAGAAAAGACUUUGAUUUUUUUCGCCACCUCCAAGAGAUCCUUCCUAAUCUAAGAGAAAAUAAAUCCAUUUAUUGCCUUCCAAAUUGACCACACCGUUGUAUGCCAAAUUAACCAAAAAACCUUCCUUAAUGGCUUACAUCACGCAGCCCCACUAAAACAUUCAAAGUGGACAGAAAAAUUUGGUGGCAACACCAAAAAUAACCAAAGCCACUGAAACACACUAAACCAAACCAUUGCUGCAAACUUGCAGUGAAGAAACAGAAGCACUGAUGUUUCCACCUUCCCCACACAAACUCCACAGUCAAUCGAACCCCCCACUAGGAUAACAGCCCUAACUGUCAUAUUGUCUUUUGACAAGACACGAUUGUGCAGUAAUUUCCACAAAAAAGCUGCAACUUUUGAGGGUGCAGCAGAAUUCCAAAUACUACCAAGUACCAAACACAUGAGAAUCAGAAGUGUCCAAACUGAUUUCAUUAAGAAAAACCGGAGCCAAUAAAUGAUGAACGAAAAAGAGCCACCCGAACAACCUCCUCCGUGAACAAACACUACCAAACACAUCUGGACCCCAAACCCAAACAUCCUCCUCCGUGGAUAAAUGCACUGCCUGCAGUAAAGACAAUAAGACCUGCAAAAUUCUCAUUCUCCCAUUCGAACAACCUCCUAUGCCAAGUGAACGACCACCUCCAAACCUCACCUUCCCUAAUUCUCACCUCGCUCACUGUACCCUUCUUCUCGGUGAACGGAACCAAACCUGUCCACACAUCUAACCAAAAUCUAGUGAAACCAGUGCUCCCUUGCCAUCAUAUCUACCCCUCCAAUAUCUUUCCACCAGCACGAAGAACAAUACAGAAAAGCUUCCUCUUCCCAGAUUCCUCUCUACAAAAUCUCUUUCCCGUAUUUCUCUAUAGAAUCUCUUUCCUUUAUUUCUCUACUAAUGCCUCUAGCUGACUUAACACUUGAGCGUUAGAAAUGACAUGUUUUUUUUCUUAACAUUUCACAAAAUUGUUGCCAACUUGGGAACACAAAUUUAUAUUGAUGAUUAUAGUGAGGCUUAACUGUUGAACAAUCAAUCUAGGUGAUAAUUCUUACAACUUCGUUAAUCAUUAGAAGAUUUUAACGCUACAGAACGUUAUCUGUGUAUUUCAAAUGAUAUAUACUCAAUUCAUUCACAAAGUGAAAGUUCUAUAAACUAGUAUUGGUAGUCUGACUAGUUGAAGUUAUUUCAUUUAACCACAAUCUAAGUUUGGUGAUGCAGUUAAAUGAAAAAUUCAAUCCAUUCUCACAAAAAUAAAUAAAUAAAUAAUGGAAAGAAGAUUUACCGAAACUUAAUGACACAUCGCCCCUGGCAUAAAUUUUGCAAUUGGUUCCUGACAUAAGCAAGCUCCUCCAAAUUUUUUGAUAAUAAUUCCGAACAGAAUAUGUUGAUCUCCCCUAAGACUGUGGCAUUUUCUAACAGAAACUUUACAGCUUCGAUAUCAGGUUUAAUUCCAAGAAAAUCUGAUAUAGAACAUACUUUGAGAGAAGAUGUGAAACACCAAGGAAAUGAAUUUGAUGGCCAUCCUUCAUCCAUAAAUAAGAAAAAUCCCUACACAAGAAUCAAUAAACAAGUCAAUGAACAGAAAUAAUUUUACUAUUAGCUGUGAAACAUGGUAGAAGAAGCAAGAUACGUGAUGUACCUUAGAAAUGUGAAGAACUUCCAGAUUAGGAGUCUUGUGGAAAAUGCUUGCUAAUACUUCACUGGUGGGGUAAAAAUACCCCAAGGGCACAUCAAGAUGCGUCAAAUUGAAGAACGGAGGCAAAAGAUGAAGAGUGUCUUUUGCAUAGUUAAGACACUAGUAAGGGAAACAAAAAUAGAUACAUCAUUGUAAUACAUAAAGAAUAAGCAAUGGAAACAAUCACAUAACCCAAGCAACAUUGUCAAUAAAUUAUCUUAUACAACAUUUAGAAAAAUGAAGAUCAUAAGUGAGCAGUAAAACAUACCUGAAGAGUAUCAUUUGAUAUUGUGAGAGAUUUGACACUACCAAGUCGACUCAAUAGCUCAAUUGCAAAUUGCUUAGUAUUUUGCUGUUGAUUUUGGAGAUCAUAACACCUAAGAUCAAUACAUGCAUCAACUAUGGAGGUAGGGUUAACUAGGACAAAUUUUAUAAUUGGAUGGGCUGUGUAGCUUAAAGAUAAAAGAUUCGUAACAUCAAAUUUGAUUGUAAAACUGCGAAUACGCAAAUCACUUGGAUCAAAAUGAUUUAACUCGAUGGUCAACUUCCUUAGUGUGGAAAUUGCAACAUUGAUUUGUUCUAUGUUCAACCAAAAAAAUUUAUACAAGGUCAACUCUUGUAGGACAGGGCACCCAGACAAAAGCCGUUGAGCCGACUUCUCAUUUUCGAAGGAAAGAUGUGAAAGAUAUAACGUCUUCAAGUUAGGGAAACGUAUACCAUCAGGUAUAUAUAGAGUGAAACCAAAUUCUAAGCACAACUUAUUCAAUGAUUGGGAUGCUGAGAAAUUAUUGGGUAACACAAACCUAGCAAAUGUUUGGUCUAGGGAAAGUUUAAGAUCAAGGAGUUUGUGCAUCAAUGCUGAAGAUAACAAAGAAUUAGCUUUAUCUCCAUCAAUAUCAGCUUUUUGUACUUGAACGCAAAGUCUUUCUACAUGGUUAGAUGUGUGAAGUAGUUUGUCCACCCAAUCUAUGAGGCAAUUUUCCGACUCCUGUUCUGGCUUUGAUACAUCCGGAUUACAAGAAACUUGAAAAUCAAAGAUGGAUAAAUGUGUCCACAAGUAUUUCCACUUUGUAGCUAAUAUGGAAGUUCUUACAGCAUCUUUAGUAGGGAGUAAAGAAAGAAUAUGAAGAAGAACAGCCUCGGGUAAUUCACUUAUCAUAUCUUCCAUAUCACCUAUAUCAUGUCUUUGGAGCUUAUGUAAAUUUGAUGAUGACAUUGUAGCAGCCUGUUCAAAAUAAAAAAUAAUGACACACUAUUGUAAAAAAGUACAAAACAACCAAACAAUAAUUCUUAGACAUUUUCCCAAACAUUUACAAGGCACUCAUGAACUAUGAAGCACGGAUACAAACACGGACACGGCCAUUGAAACCGCUAAUAAUUUGAGAAAAUCACGUAAUUCAGUGUAAUUAUGUAGUAUGUUGGUGGUGUGUCAGCACGUGUCCGACACCGGGACACGCUUAAUCCGAGGAGUGUCCGUACUUCAUAGCUAAUGAACUUCUCAUUUGUAUCAAAGUAAUAAAUAAAAAGAACAUUAAUCUGAAGACAGUUAAAUCGAAAAAGAAACAAACAUGGUGAGUAUUAAAUAAAAAUCAUUGAAGGCUGAUUUGAAUUGGCUUAUUUUUUUAGCUUAUUAAAAACAACUUAUCCAAAUAAAUAAGAUUUUAUUUAUUAUUCAUAAACUUGUUUAUGAAAAAACAGCUUAUGAAGAUACAAUUUUGAGAGAACUUAAUUAACAUAAAAAGCUUAUUUACUUGCAGAAAUUAUUUUUUAUAAGGUCAAAAAUAAGUCAAUUCAAACGAGCUCUGAUUCACAUGCGUAGAAGGAGACGAUAAGCUUAUUGGAAAAAAUAAGCUACCUCAACUUAAACAAAGUUAACAAAAAUUCAUAGGCAUUUUCACAAACAGUUGUUACGCACUUAUGAAAAAAAAAAUAUCGAUGAGAUAAACGCAGAAAAUAAAGCCAAACAAAGGUUGAAUAGAAGGCAUUGGAAAAACAGCAUAAACGAAGAUUGUGGAUUUGACAAAAGGAGAGAAAAGGGAAUAAAGCGAUUACCUUGUUAACAGCAUAAACGAAGAUUGUGGAUUUUCGGUUUAUGAAUCACUAUAGUUAAACAAUUUUAUUACUUGACAUGGCAAAUGUUUGAUGCUAACACGGAGUUUAAGAAGACUGAGAUGAAUCGAUGAGAUAAACGCAGAAAAUAAAGCCAAACAAAGGUUGAAUCGAAAAUAAAGACAGAUCACAAAUGUUUGGUCCAAGGUAAUUCAUAGGCAAAUGUUUGAUGAGAUAACACACACUUAUUUGGUUGCAAUGUCAUAUGUUGCCAGAUCAUCCUCUAUUCGCGGCCUAUAUGCUUUUGUAAUAGGCUUGCUUUUAUGUUAGGGGCGAAAAUCAAAACGUUUACAUCUUGCUAGGUUUGUUUAAAAAAAGAGAUACAGAGACGAUUACUUUAGAUAAAAAAAAUGACAAUAACACUUAAAAAUUCACACACGAAAAUGGAAGAUUUUUAGUUCGAACAGGGGUCACAACAUUCAGCCUGACAUUUGUCAAUUGAUCUACAUGUUUAUACCAAUUUGGCACUAGUUUAGUGCAACUGAAAGAAAACUGAGUUGUACCAAAAACUAUUGUGAUUGCUGAUGUGUAUAACCUUCAACCUAAUAACAAAAAAUUUCUGUAAAACAAACCAGAAAAUUCAAUUAAACUAUAUUAUUCUUUCUUUCUUUCCCUCUUUAGUAUGAAAUAAAGAUACUAUAACUUGACAGAAAUAAAGCAUAUAACAAAUGUUCUUAGAACUAACAAAUAUUUUUUAAUCCUCUAUAAUACAUAACAAAGGAGGAAACAUAAGAUUAAAUAAGUAGCAGAAAGUCAUUGAAGACAAAAGAUUACACUCUACAGUCUACACCACUGAGACAGAUAGCAAAAAUUGUCAUUUCACAACCUGUCCUCCAAGGAGAUCUUCAAUGCUUCAAGUUUUUCAAAGUGUCUCUGAGAUUAAGAAGUUGUAUUUUUCAUGUUUUAGAAUUCACAAAACUCAUCGAUUAAGAAAGAGAAAUAACAAUAAGGAGAGGAUGAAAUCAUUCAGAAAACAAUAAAUCAGUCAGAGCAUGUCCAUUAUUACCUGCAGCACGGAGCACCCCAGAAUUUGCAUCCUGAAAACAACAGUGAAAGUUAGAUCAAGGCAUUCAAUGUGUUCCACGUAAGAAUGAAACAGCCAAUAAAAAUUAGUGGAAGUGUUCACUAUUUUUGUCAAGAGUUUUACUCACUUAAUCUUCAUCAGACUCAUCAUCAAAGGGAUCAUAGUAGUUGUAACUGAAACAGUGAAAACAAAUAUAUAUCAACGAGCAACUAAACAUAAUUUCAAGAAUAAAGAUCUCAAACACAUCUUCCGAAUUCCCGGAAAUAUGUAAACUCGUUUUAGCUAUGUAAACUCGAAUCGUAAACUCGUACGAGUUUACCUAAAAUUAAAAUUAUAUAAAAUUUAUUAUAUAUAUAGCAUAUGUAAGCUAAUAUUUAAACAAAACAUAACCAAUUAACCACAUUUAAAUAAUAAACUCUAACAAUAAAAAACAAAAUUUAUCAGUACAUUUAAACUCUUUUUCAUAUUCAGUUGUAACUUUAACUUCAAUUGUUUCAUUUUCUCAUUUAAAUACUUGAGCAAGUAAUAUAUUUGAAUGAUUUCAAAACAAUCAAUAAUAACAAUCUUCUGAAUGCAUUCCCUAAAAUUCAAUGUAUGUCAUUCUCACGCAUUGGCGUAGCUUCUGUACAUAGCAAGCAUGAAAAAACCGAGUUAUGUUAACCGUAAAGGCAACAUUUCAACACCUUGGGAUUAAAAAAAAAAUUGAAUUUUGAAAGAAAAUGAGAAAAAAAAAACCAAAAAAAAAUAAAAAUAAAAAAUUCAAAGGUAAACUCGGACGAGUUUACUCCGAGUUUACACGAGUUUACACGAGUUUACCGAGUUUAACACGUGUUCACUCGGUCAAACUCGUCAAACUUUCCGAUUUCACCAAAAACCAAGUUUACCUCCGAGUUAACACGUUUUUGCCACCUAAAAACGUAAACUUGAGCGAGUUUACGUGUUAACACUCGAUUUGUGGAACAGUGGUUAUUAAUGAGAAACUUGUUCCAAACAUCCUGUAGGCUGUGGAUUGAUCCAACAAUCAAAUCUGAAGGAACUAAAUUAGGCUCAUAUCAUGAAAAGAUCAUAGUAUGAAAACCUUCUUUACAUGCUAAAAAUAUUCUAAAGAACAUUAGCAACAUCCCAUUAACAUGAAGGUGAUCCCAGGAAAAUAAUACAAAAGUCUAUAGUUUUAAGAAAUACAAAAGUAAAGAUAUUACUGAAAAAGAGCUUUAAGAAAUUAUGUUGAUAUCAAAAAAUACAUUAAAGAAUUUUGAAUUAGCUUUCAUGUCAAUCAAGUCAACAUUAAAGCUUUGCUUAUGAUCUCAAAAACAUGGCCCAAUAUAGACUUAGUGCAUUUAAAAGAAUAGACAAAGGACAAUCCGGUGCACUAAAGCUCCCGCAUAAACAGGGUUCGGGAAGGAGUUUCACCAUUUUUGGUGUAUUGACGCAGCCUUACCCUGUUUUUUACAUGGGAGGCUGUUUCCAGGACUUGAACCCAUGACUUUUCAGUCACAUGACAACAACUUUACCAGUUGCGCCAAGGUUACCAGUUGCAUUUAAAAGAAUAUAUAACUUGGAAGUACUAACCAAAUAUUUUAACUCAAAUAGAUAAAAUAAAUAAUACAAUUACUCUAGUUCACCUUGCAUUGCAUAAAAAAAUGAAGUUAUUAGUAGUUAUUUCAAUCAAACCUCUCACUUUUCACACAGGAACUACGACCCACGUUUAAGUGUCUAUCUCUGUUUUCUAAAAAUGUUGGGAUGUUAUAGCGUGCAAGCGAGCGCAGGGUGGAGGGAGAAUGAAACCAUUUCCCAAAAUUUAAAGACGAAACCACCUAGCUGAAGUUUAAAAACAAGUUCAAGAUUCUUUUUGCCGCCAAAAAUCAUGUCAUGUUUUGGUAUGUCAAGCGUAAAAAGUAAGAACAGGUAAACAGCCACUUUAAACACCUCGAAUGUUCCAUUUCCCAGCAAACAGAGUUUGUCCAAUAAAAUAAAUUGAUUCAGUUCACAAAUUUCAUACUCCACAAACUAGCCAUAAUAGUCUAACUAGCCAUAAUGGGCUUGCUUGUGGAGGGAAUAUAUAUUUAAUAAAAAAAUUAUUUCAUAAAAGAUUGAACAUGAUUUCUCUUAAAUGAUUCGAUCUUUUGUAGCUAAUAGAACCCAAUUAUUUUGGUUUGGAUUUUCAAAUUUAUACGAAUAAAAGAUUUUUUUUUGAAAAAUACGAAUAAAAGAUUGAUAUAAUAAAAAACCAUACUUUAUUAUUCAUAAAUCUUUUUUUUUUUUACACAAAACAAAUGACAUUCAUUCAUUCAAAUUGAUAUGAUACAUCAAUGCAAUAGAAAUUCGUAAAAACAAAAAGGAUAAAUUGUGAACAAACUCACGACAUCCAUGUUAAUAGCAUAAAAUGGCAAAGUGCAUAAGCCUACAAAUAUGACUAUAUUAAAAUUUUCGGAAUAAUCAUGCCUCCGGAUCUGCAAUGUUGAUGACGCCAAAGUCAUUUGUUGGAUCUGCACUCUAACAAUCUGAAUCGAACAAACACCUGAACAAGGGAAAAGACAAACAACGUCGCACAAAGACGACAAACAAAACAACGUCGCACUAAGACGACGAAAUCACAAAAGGAAAACCUAAUUCGACGUGAAAAUCACUUAUUUAAAUAGAAGGGAAUGAGGAAAAACGUUUUAGAGGGGUGAUUUGGGGUCAAAAAUUGACCCUAAACCACCCUUCUUUGAUGGAUGAAGAAGAAAAAAUUAGAGUUUCAGACGUCAACUUACAAAAGAGAGAGUGGGAAUAUCUUAUAUAUUAUAUAUUUGUAACUAUAUACAAAAGAAAAUAUAAAAGUUUGAAUCGACUUUUUCUCUAUCUAAUUUUACCUUUCAUUGAAAUAAUUUUGUUUACCAUUUUAUUCUUUUUAAAAUAUUACAUAAAUUAUUAAUUAAAAAAUAUUUAAAUCUCAUUAAAAUAAGAACAAUCUCACUGUGUUAGAAUAAUAUUAUUUGUAACAAUGUGUAAAAAAUAAGAGGUUUUCGGUUAGAUUAUUUAUUAUUUCAAUUAUACUAUUAAACAAAUUUCCUAUAAUAAUUUUAUAUUGUUUGUGUCAUUGAAAAUAUUAAAAAAUUUAUGUUAUGCUUCCUCAUUUCCUUUUUAAGUGUCGUUUUGGAAGAGUAACACUAAUUUAAUGAAGAAGUGCAUUUUAAUUCAUCAAUAAAUUUUUAUUUUUUGCAAAACACUUUCUUUUUCCAAUAAAUUUGAUGUGUUAUUUUUCUCUGAUAACAAACAAUUGUUAUUUACUCUCUUUUCCUUCAACAAUUUUUUUUUUAACACACUUUAUCUCUCUACCAUAAGAAAGAAUUAUCAAUAAUCUAAACAUUGUACACAUAUUUUUUAAUAAUUGUCAAACAAAAUAAAAAUUAUUCCAACUUCACGUUAAUCUAAGAAAAAAAUAUUUUUCCUCCAUUUCCUUCUAUCAAAUAGAUUUCGACUAUAGUUUCAACUAAUACUAGAUUCACACUAUGUGACAUAGAUUUGAAUGUUGAAAAUAACGAAAAAUAAAAUUUUGUUUUAUAAAAUAAAACUGUUUUAAAAAAAAAACAAAUUUCUUUAAAAAUAAAUAACAAACUUUAGUUUUCAAAUUGAUAACAUUAUUAGUUUUAUUGAAAAAGAUAAGAGUAAUUAAGAAAUAGUAUAAAUGACAAAUCGUACCCUUAAAUAAAUAGAAUGAUAGUUAAAUAAGAAUGGUAAAUCCGUAGUCAAACGACACUUAAAAAGGAAUGAAAUGAGUAUUUGUUAUACGAUUGAUGUAAUUUAAAAAGAUAAAAAUGUUGUUGCAAUUUGAAAUCGCAAACAUCGAUACCUAUAAUUUUAAUCAAAAUUUAACUAAUUUCAUUAAAUAUAUUGUUCAUAAUUACGGUGGAGUUUAGCAUGGGAAAGACUAUUUUUUCCCACCAUGGAAAAAUUGUUUUUGAAUCAUUUGAUUUAAGAGGAACAUUGAUCUUAUGAUAGUCUCUUCACACUUGAUUUUUUU